rnacentral:rRNA from 1 species
UACAGAGGGGGCAAGCGUUGUUUGGAAUUACUGGGCGUAAAGGGCGCGUAGGCGGCCUGUUAAGUCGAACGUGAAAUCCCCGGGCUCAACCCGGGAACUGCGUCCGAUACUGGCAGGCUUGAAUCCGGGAGAGGGAUGCGGAAUUCCAGGUGUAGCGGUGAAAUGCGUAGAUAUCUGGAGGAACACCGGUGGCGAAGGCGGCAUCCUGGACCGGCAUUGACGCUGAGGCGCGAAAGCCAGGGGAGCAAACGGG